UACGGAGGGCGCAAGCGUUGUUCGGAAUCACUGGGCGUAAAGAGCGUGUAGGCGGCUUGGCAAGUCGGAUGUGAAAUCCCGAGGCUCAACCUCGGAACUGCACUCGAAACUGCCUGGCUCGAGUCCCGGAGAGGGUGGCGGAAUUCCCGGUGUAGGGGUGAAAUCCGUAGAUAUCGGGAGGAACACCAGUGGCGAAUGCGGCCACCUGGACGGUGACUGACGCUGAGAUGCGAAAGCGUGGGGAGCAAACAGG
rnacentral:rRNA from 1 species